CUGAAAUUGAAAUGGUUCACAGAUCAAGAUCUGGUCAGAUCUGACUUUGUCGAAUUAAACCAGGAUCUUGGAGAUGAAUUUUUGAAUGAAACCAACUGGAUGCGAACAAUUCCGGAGAAGAAGAAGAAGUGGAAUCGGAUCGGAAGAUUAUUUAUAUUGUUGGAAUUCUUAUAUUGAUGGAGUUGAAGAAGUCCAGGGACAAAUAAGCCAAGGCAAGCCAUCUUUUGAUCUCUGAUUCGGUGUCUAGUUGGAUGUCAUUUGUUGAUGUCCAAAGCACCUUAACUCUGUGUGUUAUUCUCUCUAUUUAUGUCA